rnacentral:rRNA from 1 species
CUCUGGUUCAGUGGCGGACGGGUGCGUAACACGUGAGGAACAUGUCUUUCGGUGGGGGAUAGCCGGCCCAACGGCCGGGUAAUACCGCAUACGCUGCUCGGAGCUCCUGCUCUGAGUCGGAAAGCAGCAAUGCGCCGAUUGAGUGCCUCGCGGCCUAUCAGCUAGUUGGUGAGGUAAUGGCUCACCAAGGCGACGACGGGUAGCUGGUCUGAGAGGAUGGCCAGCCACAUUGGGACUGAGACACGGCCCAGACUCCUACGGGAGGCAGCAGUGGGGAAUAUUGCGCAAUGGGCGAAAGCCUGACGCAGCGACGCCGCGUGUGGGAUGACGGCCUUCGGGUUGUAAACCACUGUCGGGAGGGACGAAGAUCUGACGGUACCUCCAAAGGAAGCACCGGCUAACUCUGUGCCAGCAGCCGCGGUAAUACAGAGGGUGCGAGCGUUG